AGUAAACUGCAGAGUUAAGUUGUGUCUCUCAAUCCUCAGAGUAUUAUGGCCCUGUAAAACAAGAAUACUACGAUAUCACAACAUGGUGACAAGCGAUAAAAGCAGUUUAACUCUCAGCACAAGGUAUAGAGGAAUAAAUUAAGGCUCCAGUUCCAGUGGUCUGAGGCGAGUAAUGACAGGGCAGCUUCAGCACUCGCAGUUCCCACCAAGUUAAGCCUAACAGUGACGAGAAGCCUUGAUCACCUGAACCUUCGUCAACCCCAAGAUAAGGACUCAGUCAAUUGACGGCCCAACACAUAACAUCAUCACAAUACCCUACCCACACUACUUGCUGUAGGAAAGUGAAGACAACUUGGAUAUGAGAAAGUGUACACUGGUCAUGUUGCUGCCCAAGAUGCCAGGCGGGUAUGUGCCCUGGGAGCCCUUCCAGGAACCACACACUUCUCAGCAACUAAAACUUAACGUCACACAUCCCGCCACAACUUUACACUCUCAGUAACGAGACUCACAAUGGCUGUAUGGGCAACUGGUGUAUCGUCAUCGUGUAAGUAUGUCCUCUUAUUAGUGUUAUUCUUCCUCAUUACCAAGUUUAAUUAGUGUUUAAUACCUGUGAACUUAUGUAGGCUUCGUCGUGCCACCAAACAUAUUACCUGUGGUGUAAUGGU